rnacentral:hammerhead_ribozyme from 1 species
GCACUGCUGAUGAGACCCAGAUUGGUGGAAACAGCUGUCCGGUGC